UGGGUUGUGGCUGAGUGGUAGAGCCCUUGCCUCGCAUGCGUGAGACACUGGGUUCAAUCCUCAGCACCACAU
rfam:Ictidomys tridecemlineatus contig032656, whole genome shotgun sequence.